UUGGAGGGCAAGUCUGGUGCCAGCAGCCGCGGUAAUUCCAGCUCCAAUAGCGUAUAUUAAAGUUGUUGCAGUUAAAAAGCUCGUAGUUGAAUUUCGGGAUCAAUAUGCUGGUCGUGCCAUUGGUACGUACUAGUAUUAUUGGUUUCUUCCUUCUGAUGAGUCAUGAUGUCAUUAAGUUGAUGUCAUGGGGAAUCAGGACUGUUACUUUGAAAAAAUUAGAGUGUUUAAAGCAGGCUCGCGCUUGAAUACAUUAGCAUGGAAUAAUGAAAUAGGACGUUUGAUUCUAUUUUGUUGGUUUCUAGGAUUGACGUAAUGAUUAAUAGGGAUAGUUGGGGGCAUUAGUAUUCAAUUGUCAGAGGUGAAAUUCUUGGAUUUAUUGAAGACUAACUACUGCGAAAGCAUUUGCCAAGGAUGUUCUCAUUAAUCAAGAACGAAAGUUAGGGGACCGAAGACGAUCAGAUACCGUCGUAGUCUUAACCAUAAACUAUGCCGACUAGGGAUCGGAUGAUGUUAAUUUUUUAAUGACUCAUUCGGCGCCUUACGGGAAACCAAAGUGUUUGGGUUC
rnacentral:rRNA from 1 species